UCAUAUUCCACCUCUAAGCCUGACUGCAGAAUAUUUAUCUCUGUAACUCAGCUACCGAACAGCCACAAUAUCUUCUCUCCUCUUCCUAGGGUCUCUGGAAUACCUCACAGAUGCUCAAAACCAGCAGCCUCAUGCAUUCCUCUCAAUGACUACCCCUCUAUCUGCCAAGGAACUUUCUGUCAAUGCCUCCAAUCCCCAGAGGAAAGACCACAUGAUCAAUCCUUUAUGAAGAAAUUCCAGCAUAAUCAGUCUGCAAAUACCAUUCUAAUAAGACAAAAAGGCAGCUGCAAUGAUUCAUUCCUCUGAGGCUGGAAAUGUUUGCAGAAUUCAACACUUGCAGAGAGAGAAUCCUGAGAGGAGGAAGAUAGAAUAUGCAACUCUAGCAGUUUUUGUGGCCUAGACUGGAAAAUAUCUCUGGCAACAUUUGGUGGCGAAAGAAGGCAUCACUAUAACAGCAGACCUUUCUUCUCAUUUUUGUCUAUGAAAUUAAAUCUGAGGCCUAAUUAGAAAAACAGUUGGAAUGGAAACUAGUCCUGCAACAGCUGGCAUGAUGUUUUGAAAGGGCUCUAGAAACAAGCAAGACAGGCUUCGAGUAAGCUAAUGGCUUUACACAUCAAAAAGGUGAGUGACCUACUUCCUAAUAAACCACCUGUUCAUGGGACGGUUGUAGAUAUU
rnacentral:lncRNA from 1 species